rnacentral:misc_RNA from 1 species
AUGUAGCCCUGACCUUUGCUCAUACACAACAAUGCUAUCAGCUUAUAUUAAUGCAUCAGAUAUGGAAGGUGCAGAGAAAUUUUUCAGAAGAAUAAAGCAAGAUGGAUUGGAGCCCAAUGUUGUUACAUAUGGCGCACUGAUUAAGGGAUAUGCAAAAACAAAUGACCUCGAAAAGAUGAUGGAGAAAUAUGAAGAAAUGCGGGUUCAUGGUAUCAAGACUAACCAAACUAUCUUCACUACAAUCAUGGACGCGUAUGGUAGGAAUAAGGAUUUUGGCAGUGCCGUUGCUUGGUUCAAUGAAAUGGCAUCUUCAGGUGUCUCUCCUGAUCAAAAAGCAAAGAACAUUCUCUUGUCCUUGGCAAAAACAUCUGAAGAACAGAUGGAAGCUAAGCAAAUCACAGGAUGUGCCAACGAGCUGAUAGUCGACAGUAUUUCCAGUAACAUCAAUGAUAAUGAUGAAGACGAGUAUGACUAUGAUGAUGGAAGUGGUGAUGAUGAUGAUGAUGA